rnacentral:rRNA from 1 species
GCGGUCUGCCGCGUCUGCUGUGAAAACCCGAGGCUCAACCUCGGGCCUGCAGUGGGUACGGGCAGACUAGAGUGCGGUAGGGGAGAUUGGAAUUCCUGGUGUAGCGGUGGAAUGCGCAGAUAUCAGGAGGAACACCGAUGGCGAAGGCAGAUCUCUGGGCCGUAACUGACGCUGAGGAGCGAAAGGGUGGGGAGCAAACAGGCUUAGAUACCCUGGUAGUCCACCCCGUAAACGUUGGGAACUAGUUGUGGGGGCCUUUCCACGGUCUCCGUGACGCAGCUAACGCAUUAAGUUCCCCGCCUGGGGAGUACGGCCGCAAGGCUAAAACUCAAAGGAAUUGACGGGGACCCGCACAAGCGGCGGAGCAUGCGGAUUAAUUCGAUGCAACGCGAAGAACCUUACCAAGGCUUGACAUAUAGAGGAAAGAUCUGGAAACAGUUCCCCCGCAAGGUCUCUAUACAGGUGGUGCAUGGUUGUCGUCAGCUCGUGUCGUGAGAUGUUGGGUUAAGUCCCGCAACGAGCGCAACCCUCGUUCUAUGUUGCCAGCACGUAAUGGUGGGAACUCAUGGGAUACUGCCGGGGUCAACUCGGAGGAAGGUGGGGAUGACGUCAAAUCAUCAUGCCCCUUAUGUCUUGGGCUUCACGCAUGCUACAAUGGCCGGUACAAAGGGCUGCAAUACCGUGAGGUGGAGCGAAUCCCAAAAAGCCGGUCCCAGUUCGGAUUGAGGUCUGCAACUCGACCUCAUGAAGUCGGAGUCGCUAGUAAUC